rnacentral:lncRNA from 1 species
AGAUCCAACACUGUUUCUCAUAGCUUGCUGUAUUAGAGCUGUUGUAACAAAUACGAAGAAAAGUCAUACAAGCAGAGCAAUUUCUGAGCCAGCGGAUCAUGAUGAAAAGGAGACCGGCCACUCCAGGCAAGGUUUGCAGCAAGGCAGUUUCAUUGUAACCUGUCUUGUGAAUGCUUAGCUUUCCUAGUGUCAGCUUUUAAAUUUAAACUUUCCAUUGCUGGAUUUAUUCUGUAAUAUAUUAAGAACACUGCUGAAAAGAUUAGAAAAAUCUGAUCAUCACAAAGACAUGAAAAGGGCUGAGAGAGCAAUGUAUUUCUGAUAUAAUAGCAGAUUUCCCUUUUACUUCUUUUCUAUGAAAAAAAAAUAAAUCCCCAAUCCAUUCAAACCAGGUUAAUAGAACAUAGAGUUUCAGUCUACAGUUUCUGGAAGACUCUAAGGAGCAUUGUUUGCCUUUCUGUUCAUUUUCUCCUUUUGAAUUCCACCUAGAUGAAGCAGAGGCUUGAGAUAGCACAGAGCAAAAUGGAACGAAAACAGACAUACACCUGAUUUCUUAGGCCUCUUGAAAAUUAAUGGGCAGGAAGGUUUAACUUGUUCAGAGUGGACUAUUGACAUUAUAAAGGUGUAAUUGCUGAGAAUAUCCUUAGGGAUUAGUUUUAACCUUGUGAUUAUACUGUAGGACUUUUACGCUCCUUGACCCUAGAAGGAGUGUCCAGGUGGGGGACAUCUGAGCUCAUCUUUGUCCAGGUGCACCUCCUAUCAUCAGUGAAUGCUCUGAAGUGGGAAGGAGAAGUUCAGAGUGCUGAUGGUCACAGAGAUCUUCCAUUCCUGAAUCCUAUCACCUUCUCUUCACAACAACUUGGAGAAGAUCCAGAGAGUUGUGGACCCACGGAGGAGACAUCUGAAUAAGCUGUGGCGAUUCAUGCAAGAUCAUUUAAGUACCUAAUGCACAAGACUGGGAUUUGAGGCCAGGUCUGGGCGUCUCAGGAGCCCACCUACUUAAGAAUGUGCAGUCUCUGACAUGAGUCUCAGGCUUCCAAGCUCUGUUUAAAUGGAUUCUGAAGCUGUCUCAGAGUUGGCUAAUCCUCACAACCUUCCUGGGAGUCAUUUAAGCUCACGCCAUGGUUUAGCGCAGUAUCCUACAAAUGGUGUGCGGAAAUACCACCUCCUACAGCUUAAAUUUUAAAUCCACCAUUGUAGACGCCCAUCUGAAGUGAGAAAGCAAAGCGCUAUUUUGGACCAUGAAUGUUCUCGCCUGAUGUGUCUUUCCGUACGAGGCCCGAUCUGUCUGUGAUUCUCCGAAAGGGAGACAUGUCGUGAGGACAUGGCUACGCCCUACAGCUAAAAGGAGUUUGAGGAGGAAGAAGGUAAUGAAGAGUUCAGUUCUCGUCUCGAAAGUUCAUGUGUUCCUGAUGCCAUCAUCCAGACAGUGGCUGCCCCUUGUGUUUCCUAGAGGGACAAUAUGUGGAUUGCGGGCAGCAGGAGGUGGCACAUUAAGAUGCCAUGGAGUUCAACCAGAGUUUUGCUUCUGUCAUUAAAAUAAAUCUGAAAUCACUCUCCUUCUAUAUCUACCAUAUUAAGCGGACUUGGACGGAUUUGAGUAAAUCAUUACUAAAAGGGUUGGGAAUUUCAUGUUUUUCUGGUCUGCAGGCAAAAAAGUUUUGUUAGUGAUUCAGAAGAGGGCUUUUAGCUUUUCUGUGAAUCCUCCAGAUGGUAAUUCUGUGCAAUGAUGGGAAAUGAAAUUUCUGACCCUGGGAAUUUCAUCUGUGCCACGGUUAAAUCACUUUCAUGCUAUUGCUUUAGGGAGGUUCCAAAAGUCCUUUUCCUGAGUUUUUAAUAGAUCCCUUUCCCACAAUUAUACUGUACUUUCCUUUAAAAUUUUUGUCUAUGUUGCUAGUGCUUGGGAAAUAUUAAAUACGAGUCAAAGCUUCACUAUUUCCCGUUUCUAACUUUUCUUUCUGCUGUAAUAGUCUGGUUUAGUAAGCAAC